rnacentral:rRNA from 1 species
AACGUAGGACGCAAGCGUUAUCCGGAGUUACUGGGCGUAAAGCGCGAGCAGGCGGCUCGACAAGUUCGCUGUGAAAGCUCCCGGCUCAACCGGGCGAGGCCAGUGGAAACUAUCGAGCUGGAGGGCAGUAGAGGCAGGCGGAAUUCCGGGUGGAGUGGUGAAAUGCGUAGAGAUCCGGAGGAACACCAGAGGCGAAGGCGGCCUGCUGGGCUGCACCUGACGCUGAGCCGCGAAAGCCAGGGGAGCGAACGGG